AGCUCCAAUAGCGUAUAUUAAAGUUGCUGCAGUUAAAAAGCUCGUAGUUGCAUUUCCGAGGCAAGGGAUUAGUCCGACCUUUGGUGGGUAUUUAAUCCUCUUGCCUCGUCCUUGAGUGGUGCUUCUUGGUAUUAAGUUAUCGAGGAGAUAGCCGCUCAUCGUUUACUGUGAGAAAAUUAGAGUGUUCAAAGCAGGCUUAUGCCGUUGAAUAUAUUAGCAUGGAAUAAUAAGAUAGGACCUCGGUACUAUUUUGGUGGUUUGAGACCCAAGGUAAUGAUGAAUAGGGACAGUUGGGGGUAUUCGUAUUCAGUUGUCAGAGGUGAAAUUCUUAGAUUUACGGAAGACGAACUACUGCGAAAGCAUUUACCAAGGAUGUUUUCA
rnacentral:rRNA from 1 species